CCUACGUGCGACAGCAGUGAGGAAUAUUGGUCAAUGGGCGGGAGCCUGAACCAGCCAAGUCGCGUGAGGGAAGACGGUCCUAUGGAUUGUAAACCUCUUUAGGCGGGGAGCAAUGCCGGGCACGCGUGCCAGGAGGGAGAGUACCCGCAGAAUAAGCAUCCGCUAACUCCGUGCCAGCAGCCGCGGUAAUACGAAGGAUGCGAGCGGUAUCCGGAUUUACUGGGUGUAAAGGGGGCGCCGGCGGCGAUGCAAGCCAGGAGUGAAAGCCCGGGGCUCAACCCCGGGACUGCUCUUGGAACUGCGUGGCUGGAGUGCAGGAGGGGAAGGCGGAAUUCCUGGUGUAGCGGUGAAAUGCGUAGAUAUCAGGAGGAACACCGGUGGCGAAGGCGGCCUGCUGGACUGCAACUGACGUUGAGGCCCGAAAGCGUGGGGAGCAAACAGGAUUAGAUACCCUUGUAGUC
rnacentral:rRNA from 1 species